rnacentral:rRNA from 1 species
AGAGUUUGAUCCUGGCUCAGGAUGAACGCUGGCGGCGUGCUAACACAUGCAAGUCGAACGGAGUUCUUAAGGAAUGCGACUUCGGUCAAAUGACUUUUGAACUUAGUGGCGGACGGGUGAGUAACGCGUGAGCAACCUGCCUUUCAGAGGGGGAUAACAUUUGGAAACAGAUGCUAAUACCGCAUAAGAUUACAGUACCGCAUGAUACAGUGAUCAAAGGAGCAAUCCGCUGAAAGAUGGGCUCGCGUCCGAUUAGAUAGUUGGUGAGGUAACGGCUCACCAAGUCGACGAUCGGUAGCCGGACUGAGAGGUUGAACGGCCACAUUGGGACUGAGACACGGCCCAGACUCCUACGGGAGGCAGCAGUGGGGAAUAUUGCACAAUGGGCGAAAGCCUGAUGCAGCAACGCCGCGUGAGGGAAGACGGUUUUCGGAUUGUAAACCUCUGUUUUCGGUGACGAAUAAAUGACGGUAACCGAGUAGGAAGCCACGGCUAACUACGUGCCAGCAGCCGCGGU